CCAUUAACAAAAAAUAAAAUAAAGUGGCAUUGGCAUCAAAAAGGGGAAUAAAACAAUAUAGUUGUAACAGUGUAAACACAUUGCAAUAUACAUGAAAGCAAAAAAAAAAAGGUGACAAAUUAAAAUGUAGGGUAAGUCAAUGAGUAAGAACUAAAAAAAAAAAAAAAAU